rnacentral:rRNA from 1 species
AUUGAACGCUGGCGGCAGGCCUAACACAUGCAAGUCGAGCGGAGCGGCGGAGGGGUGAGUAAUGGCAAGGUAUCUGCCUGGUAGCGGGGGAUAACGUCCGGAAACGGGCGCGAAGACUGAAUACUAUCAGUUGAGGCUAGGUCGGAUUAGCUAGUUGGUGGGGUAAAGGCAUACCAAGGCGACGAUCCGUAGCUGGUCUGAGAGGAUGAUCAGGCACACUGGAACUGAGACACGGUCCAGACUCCUACGGGAGGCAGCAGUGGGGAAUAUUGGACAAUGGGCGAAAGCCUGAUCCAGCCAUGCCGCGUGUAUGAAGAAGGUCUUCGGAUUGUAAAGCACUUUCAGUUGGGAGGCGUUACCAGCAGAAUAAGCACCGGCUAACUCCGUGCCAGCCGCCGCGGUAAUAC